rnacentral:lncRNA from 1 species
AUCUUGAGAGAGGCAGGGCUGGCCUGGGCGGAGUGCGGGGCCGACAUCUGCGGAGGGUUAGGAGGGGAAAGGUUUUUUCUACCCGCCGGCUCGGCGACCAGGCUGAAACUCAUGUUUGAAUUUAGUGAGCCGUUUGUUCGUUAGUCCGGAACACUAGCGCGGUAGGCCAAGCUGCGAGGAGGCGGCGAAAUCAGCGAAUAGCAAAUUAUAAAAGAAACAAGGCUUUAUCUCCUAGGCCCUCUAAAGCAUCCCCAGGAGAUCCGUAUCCCCGUUUUGGAGAGAACGCUGAAGCUCAGAAAAACUCAGUGGAAAGCGGCAGACCCAAGCCUCCUCGCCAAGUCUGAGUGACCGUGAAGCCCUGGUUUUUCCUUCUUUUUCUUUCUUUUUGUACUUUUUUUUUUUUUUUGGUAGAGUCGGGCUGUUGCCCGGCCUGGUCUCAAACUCCUCUAACUCAAACUAAAAAGCCAUCCUCCGGCCUCGUCCUGCCAAAGUGCUGAGAUCACAGGCAUAACCUGCCGCGCCCGGCCCAAGUCCCUAUUUUUCUUUCCAGGCUUCCUAAGUUCAUUUAAAGGCGAAUUUAUCUAUUAGUAAUGACGGCUGACGAGUGAUGGCAGAGUGGACAGGUGUAAUGGAGAGAUGAAAAAUGAACCUUCGCCUGUAAUCCCAGCGCUUUGGGAGGCUGAGGCGGGAGGAUCACCUGAGGCCAGGUAUUUGAGACUAGCAUGGGCAACAAAUUGAGACCCCAUGUAUCCAAUUUUUGUGUUUUUUUUAAUGUGGUGUGGUGGCGUGUGCCUGUGGUCCCUGCUACUCCAAAGGCUAAGGUGGGAGGAUCACUUGAACCCAUGUUGAGGCUUCAGUGAGCUAUGAUUGCACCACUGCACUCCAGACUGGGUAAUAGAGACCCUGUCUCUAAAAAAAAAAAAAAAAAAAAAUUAAAACUUAAAUUUUUAAAAAUUGAAAAAUUAACCUGAUAGGGGAAAUUUUAAAAAUCAGAAGUCUAUGUCAGUCGCGGUGGCUCAUGCCUGUAAUCCCAACACAUUGGGAGGCCGGGGCGGGCAGAUUGCCUGAGGUCAGGAGUUCGAAACCAGUCUGGCCAACAUGGUGAAACCCCGUCUCUACUAAAAAUACAAAAAAAUUAGCCGGGCGUGGUGGCAUGUGCCUGUGAUUCUAGCUACUCGGGAGGCUGAGGCAGGAGAAUGGCGUGAACCCAGGAGGCGGAGCUUGCAGUGAGCCGAGAUCGCGCCACUGCACUCCAGCCUGGGCGAGAGUGAGACUCAGUCUCAAAAAAAAAAAAAAAAAAAAGAAGCCUCAGGACACAUUGGUAAAAUUUCUCACAUAAGUAUGACACACCUGGGCCGGGCGCGGUGGCUCACGUCUGUAAUCCCAGCACUUUGGGAGGCCGAGGCGGGUGGAUCACGAGGUCAGGAGACCGAGACCAUCCUGGCUAACACGGUGAAACCCCAUCUCUACUAAAAAUACAAAAAAAAAUUAGCUGGGCGUGGUGGCGGGCGCCUGUAGUCCCAGCUACACGUAAGGCUGAGGCAGGAGAAUGGCGUGAACCCGGGAGGCCGAGCUUGCAGUGAGCCGAGAUCGUGCUACUGCACUCCAGCCUGGGCAACAGAGCUAGACUCCAUCUCAAAAAAAGAAAGGAUUCUCCACCGGGCGCGGUGGCUCACGCCUGUAAUCCCAGCACUUUGGGAGGCCAAGGCAGGCGGAUCACCUGAGGUCAGGAGUUCAAGACCAGCCUGGCCAACAUGGUAAAACCCUGUCUCUACUAAAAAAUACAAAAAUUAGCCAGGUGGCGUAGUGGCGCACACCCGUAAUCCCAGCUACUCGGGAGGCUGUGGCAGGAGAAUCUCUUGAACUUGAGAGGUGGAGGUUGCUGUGACAAAAGAGCAAGACUCCGUCUCAAAAAAAAAAACAACAAGAAAAUAGGAUUCUACAUAUUAAAUCGCUACAGACACUGCUGCAGAAAGCCAUUCCCUGCAGAAAAAAGAGGGCACAGUCAUUUCCCCAGCCAUGGAAGUUUCUUCCUUGGUGGAUCCGUGGUUCUGAACUCAACUCUGGUAGCACAUCAGAAUACUUGAGAAUAUUUUAGAAAGAAAGAGUUGCAUAAUAGCCCUAAACUGGAAACACAAAAAUUAGGGCCGGGCGCAGUGACUCACGCCUGUAAUCCCAGCACUUUGGAAGGCCAAGGCAGGCGGAUCACGAAGUCAGGAGUUCAAGACCAGCCUGGCCAAUAUGGUGAAACCCCAUCUCUACUAAAAAUACAAAAAAAAAAAAAAAAAAAAUAGCCAGGUGUGGUGGCGCACGCCUGUAAUCCCAGCUACUUGGGAGGCUGAGGCAGGAGAAUCACUUGAACCAGGGAGGUGAAGGUUGCAGUGAGCAGAGAUCGCACCACUGCACUCCAGCCUGGGCAACAGAGUGAGACUCGUCUCAAAAGAAAAACAAAUUUUGGUACAUCCAUCCAUGCAACAGAAUAGUAACAACUACCAAUACACCCAUGACUGAAUCUCCAAAACAUUAUGCUGAGUGAAAGAAGCCAGACAUCAGGAGAUGUCCAGCAUGAUUCCAUUCAUAUGAAACUCCAGAGCAAGCAAAACCAACCUAUACAGACAAUGCAGAUUAGUGGAUGUCUGGGGCUGGAGAGGGAGGUGGAAAUUGACUGGGAAGAGAGAGAAGGAAUGCUUUGGGGUGAUGGAAAUGUGGCCAUCCAGUCCACCAGCCGGUGCACUCCAGCCUGGGUGACAAAGGGAGACUCUGUCUCAAAAAAAAAAAAAAAAUGUCAGGUGUGGUGGCUCAUGCCUAUAAUCCCAGCACUUUGGGAGGCCAAGGGGGGAGUAUCGCUUGAGCCAGGAGUUCAAGAUUAGCCUGGGCAAUAAAGGGUAACCCCAUCUCUACAAAAAAUACAAAAAUUAGCUGAGUGUGGUGGCAUGCGCCUAUAGCGCUAGCUACUUGGGGGACUGAGGUGGGAGAGUCACUUGAGCCUGAAAGAUCGAGCCUGCAAUGAGUUUUGAUCAUGCCACUGCACUCCAGCCUGGGUGACAGAGUGAGACCCUGUCUCAAAAAAAUAUAUGGGCAGAUGCCAAGUUACAGCCUGUGCAGCAUAGUGAAACCCUGUCUCUAAAUAAUAAUAAAAAUAAUAUAGAUGCUCAGGCUUCACCAGAGACCAAUUAUCAAAUUAUCUGGGCUGGGGUCUGGCCAUCAGUAUUACUUGAAAGUUCUCCAAGUGGUGGGCUGGGCACGGUGGCUCACGCCUGUAAUCCCAGCAGUUUGGGAGGCUGAGGUGGGCAGAUCACAAGGUCAGGCGUUCGAGACCAGCGUGACCAACAUUGUGAAACCCCAUCUCUACUAAAAAUACAAAAAUUAGUCAGGUGUAGUGGCGCGUGCCUGUAAUCCCAGUUACUCAGGAGGCUGAGGCAGGAGAAUUACUUGAACCCAGGAGGUGGAGGUUGCAGCGAGCUGAGACCAUGCCACUGCACUCUAGCCUGGGCAACAGAGUGAGACUCUGCCUCAAAAACAGAAAAGAAAAGAAAAGAAAGUUCUUCAAGUGGUAAUUUUUUGUAGCCAGGGAUGUAGGGAUGUGAACCACAGGACCCUCCCUGUUCUCAAGGUAUAGGGAUGAGGUUAGAGAAUACCUGUGCACUUCUCUGUCCCUUCCUGGAAGAAGAGAGAAGAGUAUCUAAAGGAGGGUGAGAAUGGGGGCAGGUGGGGCAAUUUAUCCAACUCCCUGCCCAAGAGGUCAGAGACUUCAGAUCGCACCUUACUUUCCUCCUUCUUAACUCUUCCCCUUGGCUACUAGGGCUCCAGGUGGGGUCCUCUGGCCUAGAGGGAAGAAAAGGCUUAGGGUUUGGCAGUUGGAGCUGAAGACUAUUCCCUCCCUCUCUCUACCCAGCCUCUCUGGGUGUACCUGGGAGCCCAUGUCCUCCAAAGCUCAGGCUGUGGUAGGGUGCCAAGCACAAGCUCCCUGUAGUAACUCCAAGAGGGGGACAGGUCUCUGGGGAUGUCCUUCACAGGACAGGCAAGGGCCCUGGCUGGCCACCCACAGCCGGGACCCCAGGAGAUCCAGCAGGUACUGUAGCUGGAACACAGCAGUUCCCAUAGAUGGUCCCUCCUCAAACCCAAUCACAGACAGCUCCAACCUGGAGCAGCCUAGAGUCUCAGCAGGACACACAGUAGGGACAAAGUGACCUGGUAUCUAUGGGUAAGGGCAUGAGUCCAAGUCCCCACUCCCAAGAUUUCUUAUCUGUGUCCUGGAACAAACCCCUUCAGUUCUCUGGGCCUCAGUUUCCUCAUCUGUAAAUAGGGCUCUGGAUAAUCCCAACCGUAAGGCCUGACACUAUCCCAUGCUGUACUUAUGUGCAAGCUAGAAAAAGACACUCAGCUGGGCACAGUGGCUCAUGCCUGUAAUCCCAGCUCUUUGAGAGGCCAAGGCAGGAAGAUCACUUGAGCCCAGGUGUCCAAAACCAGCCUGGGCAACACAGCGACACCCCAUAUCUACAAAAAAAAAAAAAAAAAAAAAAAGGUCGGGCACGGUGGCUCACGCCUGUAAUCCCAGCACUUUGGGAGGUUGAGGCAGGUGGAUCACGAGGUCAAGAGAUCGAGAACAUCCUGGCCAACAUGGUGAAACCCUGUCUCUACUAAAAAUACAAAAAUUAGCUGGGCAUGGUGGCACAUGCCUGUAGUCCCAGCUACUCGGGAGGCUGAGGCAGAAGAAUUGCUUCAACCCAGGACGCAGAGGUUGCAGUGAGCAGAGAUCACGCCACUGCACUCCAGCUGGCAACAGAGCAACACUGUGUCUCAAAAAAAAAAAAAAAAAAUUAGCCAUUAGCUAUUUGUGGUGUCACGUGUAUGUGGUCCCAGCUACUCUGGAGGCUGAGGUGGGAGGAUUGCUUGAGCCUAAAAGGUCAAGACUGCAGUGAGCUGUGAUUGUGCCACUGCACUCCAGCGUAGGGGACAGAGCAAGACCCUGUCUCAAAAAAAAGAAAAUAAAAAGACCUUCCUUAAGUUCCUUCUACCUUCUAAGUCUUGAUUUUAUUAGAACAAGAUACUUUACUGCCAUCUGCCGCAAGUUGGCAAAUAUGCAAAUCUACAAUAUCCAGCCUGUGAAUAUAGUACUGUCUUUGUAGAUGUGGGAUCCUUGUGCAGUGUACAACAUUCACAUCCAUACAUGGUGGUCCUAUCUAUCUUAUAGGAUUGGUGUACAGAGUAAAUAAGCUAACAUACUUAAAGCAUUUAAACCAAUACCUGGCACAGAGUAAACACUAUUUACAUGCAGCUGUAGUCAUCAUCAUCAUUUGUUAUUAUAUACCUCCCUAUUCUAGGUGUUGGAGACAGCAGUGAGCAAAAUAUAUCUGUCAAGGCUAGGGGCUGGGUCAGGAGAUAGUCCCACUACUUCCUCCCCGCAACAUAUUCAUAUGGUCACACAGCAGCC